GACGGAGGAGGCAGGCAUUGUCCGGAAUUAUUGGGCGUAAAGAACACGUAGGCGGUUUAUCAAGUCAUAUGUGAAAACCUUGGGCUUGACUUAAGGAUUGCAUAUGAUACUGGUAAACUAGAGUAUAGUAGAGGAAAGCGGAAUUCCUGGUGUAGCGGUGAAAUGCGCAGAUAUCAGGAAGAACACCAGUGGCGAAAGCGGCUUUCUGGACUGUUACUGACGCUGAGGUGUGAAAGCUAGGGGAGCAAACAGGAUUAGAUA
rnacentral:rRNA from 1 species